rnacentral:lncRNA from 10 species
GUUCCUCUAGGCAGAGCUUAUACAAUAGUCACAUCUCCUGGGUUAUCAGGGCAGUGAUAAAUCACAAUGCCCCCAUAGGCAGAGCCUAGACAAGAGUUACAUAACCCGGGUGAUCCGUGCAGAGUAAUGUCACAAUGCCCUCUGUAGGCAGAGAGUGUACAAGAGUUACAUAACCUAGGUGAUCUGUGCAGAGCUGUGUCAAAACGCCCCUGUAGGCAGAGCCUAGAUAAAUGUUACAUCACCUGGGUGAUCAGUGCAGAGAUAUGUCACAAUACCCCCUGUAGGUGGAGCCUAGACAAGAGUUACCUCACCUGGGUGAUCAGUGCAGAGAUAUGUCACAAAGCCCCUGUAGACAGAGCCUAAACAAGGGUUAC